AGUAACGCGUGAGUAACCUGCCCCAGAGUGGGGGACAACAGUUGGAAACGAACUGCUAAUACCGCAUAAGCCACGGAACCGCAUGGUUCAGAGGGAAAAGGAGCAAUUCGCUUUGGGAUGGACUCGCGUCCGAUUAGCUAGAUGGUGAGGUAACGGCCCACCAUGGCGACGAUCGGUAGCCGGACUGAGAGGUUGAUCGGCCACAUUGGGACUGAGACACGGCCCAG
rnacentral:rRNA from 1 species